GUCUCAGUGGCGUAGUGCUUAGCGCACGAGCCGCGGGUAGGCGCGAGACGUGGGUUCGAUUCCCGCCUGAGAUG
rnacentral:tRNA from 1 species